UCGCAGUGACAAAGGGGCUCCGACUGUUUAAUAAAAACAUAGGUGGCAGCUAGUCCGAAAGGAUGUGUAUUGCCGCUGAAACCUGCCCAGUGCUGGUAUCUGAAUACCCAUUCCAAUGGGAGGAAGGACCAGUAAACGGCGGGGGUAACUAUGACCCUCUUAAGGUAGCGUAAUACCUUGCCGCUUAAUUGGCGGCUUGCAUGAAGGCCCAACGAGAGCCCCACUGUCCCCGCGCGGAAUCCGGCGAAACCGACUUACUGGCGCACAGUCCAGUACCUUCCAUCUGAAAGCGAAGACCCCGUGGAGCUUUACUGCAGCCUGUCGUUGUGAUAUGAGCUUGAAUGUGUAGGGUAGGCGGGAGACGUUACUAUGGCUUGGCGCUAGCCAAGUUCUGAGUCAACGAUGAAACACCGCCCUUUUGAACUUGUAUCACUCACCUCUUCGGAGAGACACCGAUAGGUGGGCAGUUUGGGUGGGGCGCCACGCCCUCGAAAAGAUAACAAGGGCGCCCAAAGGUCGGCUCAGAUAGGUCAGAAAUCUAUCGGUGAAUGUAAGGGUAAAAGCCGGCUUGACGUGGUUUGGCCCAAUAACAAACCACGAUGCGAAAGCAGGGCCUAACGAACCAACCAGCCUCAUUUAUGGGGGCGGUUGAUGACAGAAAAGUUACCCCGGGGAUAACUGAGUUGUCUCGGGCUAGAGUUCAUAUCGACCCCGAGGCUUGCUACUUCGAUGUCGUCUCUUCCUAUCCUGGUGGUGCAUAAGCUGCCAAGGGUGGGGUUGUUCGCCCAUUAAAAGGGAUCGUGAGCUGGGUUUAGACCGGCGUGAGCCAGGUUUGUUGCUUUUCGAUGGAAGUGCUUUGGCGUCUGAGGGGAAGGAGCCUUUAGUACGAGAGGAACAGGGCUUCGCGGCCUCUAGUGUAUCAGUUGUCCGGCAGGGCAAUGCUGAGUAGCCACGCCGUAGUGGAUAAGAGCUGAAAGCAUCUAAGCUCGAAGUCACCCUCAAAACGAGACGCCUUACAACACUCAUAGAUGAUGAGUUUGAUAGGAUCGGGGUGUAAGC
rnacentral:rRNA from 1 species